GUGGCGGUGGUUCAGUGGUAGAAUCCUUACCUUCCAUGAAGGAGACUUGGGUUCGAUUCCUAGCCAGUGCA
rnacentral:tRNA from 1 species